GCCAGCGUGGUGUAGUGGUUUGAGUGUUGGACUAUGACUCUGGAGAUCAGGAUUCGAAUCCCCGCUCGGCCA